CGAUUAUAUUGCAACUGGAAUAACGAAUUUUUAGUUGUUUAUUAUAACUGGUGUAUUCCUUAGAUUGGUAGGUAAGUUUUUAUCAUGUACACUGACGGGUCAUUUUACAAUAUGUAUCAACCCCUUCUCAUGCGGCAUCAGGCUUUGUUCAUCUGCUCAUGAUAUCUAUCUAUAACCCACCUUGCAAUGCACCACCGUCCCUUGGUAUCUUUUGUAGUUAACAUGGUUAAGGUAAACAUCAAAUAAAUUUCUAAUUUAUUUUCGAAAAUUUUCAUGUUGGGUUGCACCUGAGAAGGAGGGAAUAUAUAUAUAAGUAUAUAUGUAUUGUGUAGUUCAUGAUGUUCAAACUGUAUGUAUACUACAUGUUGCCUUUAUAGAAACCAUAAUUGUGGCCUACUUUACUCGAUUGUAACAUUAACGAAUGCGACUUAUUAUUUAAUUUCAACUUGCAAACUAGCAACAAGAUGGCUGUUAUUUGUAUGUCAUACUUCCCUCUUUGACCCUCAAUUAUAGUUGUUAUGUAACAGCAUGUUAUCCAUUAAAAAGAUUUUAAAUUAAAAAUUGAGAAUUUCCGGGAAUUUCCGAAGUUUAUUUAUAGAAAAUGAAAGGUACAAUUUUUAAUGUGCCACUUGAAUAUCGCGAUCACAGUUGUUCAUUUAUAAUUAGUGAAAUCCGAAGAUUGAUAGGUAUGUCUUUAUAACUUAUAGGAACGUAUUAUUCAUAUACUAGUAAUAUAAAUUAACUGGAUAGAUGUUUUCUGUAAAACGCUAUUUUCCUUUUAUACAAACAGGCUGAAUGUUAGAAAUCUCGAAUCAACCUGUACGACAUCAAAUUAACACAAUAUGUCUACAAUGAUAAAAACAGGCUGACUGCUAGAAAUCAAUCUAUAAUACAUCAACACAAUAUUUCUACAAUGUGAAAUUAAUACUUUUAUUUUUCGAUUAAUGUUAAGAAACAACAAUCGUUGUAUUCCGUGUGAUUCACAUGUAAAAGGAAAGUACAUUUGAUUAGCUACGUCUAUUAUUAGUUAUAUAAUGUGCUAGUGACCUAAUACAGUAUAUAUGGGGUCAGUAAAUUCCAUAUGGGGUGAGAGCGAAACUCGAAUCCCCAUAUGGAAUUUACUGACCCCAUAUAUUAAGAUUAUGGUGGUAUUACACUUAAAAUGGGAGACUUAACAGCUAGUAUACUUGCACCUUUCUCUCAUGUGAUACUUUCUUGCUAUUUAAGUGAUUGUUACAAAAAAUGUAGUAGUGCAAAUUUAUCAAAGACUAAUAGGGGAAAAUCAAUGGUGGUAUUACACAUCUAAAGUCCAUGUCCCCUUGCUAGUGAAACAAAGAAAGACUUUCGUUUCUAUCCUAAAAAAAAACCCACACACAUACAACUCGUAAAAUCGAUUACAAAUUAUUUAUUAUAUUAAUAGGGUAAACUAGCUGCUCCUCGACACAAUAUGAAGCAUCCUUGAAAUGUUCACAAAUUGGAAAAAAAUUUCUCAUUGUUACGUGCAACACCAAUUUACCAUAUCAAUGUGUAAAUAACCUGAUAGUCGGUACUUUCACAUCCCUCACUGGCAAUUGACUGAUUUUUGUUACAAAAGAACAGUUUACGGAUGACCAUGGAGUCAAUUUUAAGAGUCUAACAUUUAGAAGACAAUAAUAAUCAAAACCAAGGAGUAAACAAAGACUCACAAAACCAACGGACAUUUACAUCAACAGUUAUAAAUAAUAAACAAGAAACAACACGAACUCCACUAAAAACCGGGAGUGAAAUCAGGUGCUCCGGAAGGGUAACCAAUAUAUCUAUUAACGUAAAUAUUAUCAGAUUAUUACAUGGCAUUUUUCAUAUCGCAUGUAUUAUCAGCCCUAGGUUCAAUAUCAGCCCAAGAGCCGCAUGGCUCGAGGGCUGAUAUUGACCGAGGGCUGAUAAUACAUGCGAUAUGAAAAAUGACAUGUUAUGAUCUUUUUAUCAUAUGCUUCAACAGUAGAGAAAAAGAACAGAUUCAUAUAUUGAUCCUUCUACGUGGUUCCCGAAAAGAAGUUGAAAGAGUAAAAAGUUCACGGACGUCGGACCCAAAAUUUGAUACAUUCAAUAUGAAAUCUUUCCAUCAUAUGCCUCAACAGAGUAAAAAAACAGAUUUUAAUAUAAGCGAAUCGACCAAAAAAUAAUUCAACAAUAUACAUAAUGAACAUUGUUUGGAAAAGUCAACUUUUUUAAAGUAACUUUCUAAAUUAUAUUUCAGAAAAACUUAAAAAAUGCAUUUAUUUAAUAUUUUUUUUUUAAAUUAAAUUUAAUUGUUUUACACAAUAUACUUUCCAGUAUUCAAAUAAUUGUUUUGUACACUACUUUGUAAUGUUUUUUACUGAAAACGUAGCAUUGAGGUGUAUUUUCCGGAAUUUGCCGAGUAUCACCGGAAUGCCAUGUGAUAACGUUACGGAAAAGCAUGUGAUAACAAUCGAAGCAUGUGAUAAACUUUUCAUAUCAGCCCGCUAAGCACCAAUUCGAAAAAUAUGGAAAAUACUUUAAUUUAAUGCUAUUAUCAUACGGUAAAAAUCAUAUGUUAUUUAGUCUAAGUAUAUGAUAAGUAGAUUUAUUGACUUUUGAAAAGCUGAUAUUGACUGAGACCAACGACCGUAGUGAAUAUCAGUUUUUCAAAAGUCAAUUAAACCACAUAUUUACCGAAACAAAAGACAUUAAUGGUUUUGUUCCAUAUUCCAAGAGAAAUGUAUGUAAUGGCAAUUAUUUACCAAAACCCAUUGUGCAUCAAAUGUGUUUUACCAAAAUUAUGCACGUAGUAGCACGCGACGUUUUGCGCGGUGAAUAUACUUUUUCCGCAGAUUAAUAUGCUUACUUAUUCAAAAGCCCAUUCGAAAAACAUACUUAAAUUUUAUCAAUAUGGAAUAAUAGAUAUCUAUCAAACUAUUUGAUAUUUUGAACAGGUUGAAUAUGGCACAGAAAUAUGCAUCUUUACCUAACAACGACUUCGGGAAUGAAGAACUAGUGAAUGAUUUGUCAGAUGAAGAUCCUUUACAAAGUGAUGACGGUGGUGUUGAUAUACAGGAAAUCGCUGCUGAGAUUGGACAAUAUUAUGACACAACAGCACAUGACAACGUAUCUUUCAUUCAGACAACAAAUACAGAGGGCGACGCAUAUUCUGCCCUAGAAAAUGCGAUUGGCCAAUUGGAUAAACAUGAAAAGUGUAACAAAAAGAGCUGUGCCAAUUGUUCAAAACCAAAGAGAGUGGAAAAUGUCUCAAGUUUAAAGAAAGGUCAGCACAUAUCGAUGCCAGGCCAAAAAUCCAACUUUUAUAUUAAAGCGAAACGAAAGCUAAAAAGAAUGUACGACCACCAUGCCAUAAUUAAAGAAAUAAAAUAUACGACAGGUACAAAAGUUUCAAUGGUUCUCAUACAUUUAGAUCGAUCAGGAGUGCAUGAGGAAACCAAAGAAUUUGAUUUAAGGGAAAAAGAGAUAUAUAUUGUAGACUACGUUUUUCCUAGAUACGACCCCGAUACAAUUGUGGCUAGAGCCGAAUCCAUUCUUACAAAAAAAGACAAAUUCAAAACCUACAAUUUAGUAACAGGAAACUGCGAACAUUUUGCAACCUGGUGUGUGGUGGGAGAUGGCGAAAGUUUCCAGGUGCAAAGUCUGAGACAAAAAAUUGCAGAUGCUCUUUCUCGAUUAUUCGGUGCUGGUAGCAAAAUUGCAAAGGGCAUACUUCGAAUAUUAUUCGUUUCCUCAGAUGAAAUUGCCAGUGGUCUAAGUAAAGCAGUACCAGAAUUAGUUCUUGGUGGAGCAGCAGCCUUGUAUUUAAUAUACUGUAUUGUAAUGACAAUUUUGCAUGUUAAAGAUUAUAAGAAUGGACAAAUUUGUAAGUCUUGUUUAAAGGGAAAGUUGUUAGACUUGUGGCUGACAUUUGGAGCGUUUGGACUGACAUCAAUCAUAACUUUCCUCGUUUUACACUUUGUUGUUCCUGCAAUGGUACCUGCAGUCGGAAUACCCCUUAUAAUUCUAUUAGUCCUACUUGCGGUGGCUUUUCAAAUGAUUGUGCCGAGAUUAAGGAAAGCGCUGAGCUCUCCAUUUUCUGUUGACCGUGUUAAGGUGGUAAAUUUAGGGCAAAUUGGUAUUGGUGAUGUGCUUUCACAUCGCUAUUAUGGUGUUAAACAUACGAGUAUUGUUACGGAGGUCAAGGUCGAAAAUGAUAAAAAGACAAAAGGGCGGAUUCGGUUGGUCCAUUAUGGAUCUUCGGCAUUAUUUGGAACGAGAAAGAUUGUUGAGGAAUAUGUUGAAAUUGAUAUACAUAAAUCAAGUAUAUAUGUAUUGGAUUGCAAACCUUUGUGCACAUUUGAAGCUGACAUUGUUGUUAGUAGAGCGAGAAGUCGAAUUGGUGAGACUAAAUGGGCUAUAUUUUCAAACCGAUCAGAUCAUUUUUCAUAUUGGGCCAAAGUUCAACAGUACAACAAUGACUUUUUUGACGAAGUAUCGAAUGAAGAAAUCAGAAGACCAAUGCCAAAGACAGAAGCGUCACUCUUCAUAGAAAAAAGAGAUAUUCAUCGCGUAGAAGAUCUAAAAAUAGGUGACGUGGUUCAAAGCAAUGUUAUUGGAAUAAUCGAUGAUACCGGCAUACUAUCUUCAAUAAGAUAUUUGGAUGGCCAAGAUGGACGUAAAUUUGAAAUAGAGGUUUACACAUAUUCGUUUUUCUGGACGAUAAAUCGUAAAAAAUAUAUUGUUGACCUUAAUAAAGAUAGCUUGGACGUAAAAGUAUAUAAUCCCUCACAAUGCCAGACUAUGGAACAACGUGUGAAAAAUGCGCGGGACAUUGAGAACGAGACAGGAUCGUGGUGGACUACAGAGGGAUUUAUUGAACAUUGCAUCGAACUCAAAUAGGAUUGAAAACCUACCUUUCAUAAAUUUGACAAAACGAGCUAUGAUAGCAUAUGUUAUAAUUCAUCAUACGUCUUCCGUCAUAGAUUUCCAAACACGCACAUUUGUUUUAAUAUAAACUGCUUUGUAGACAUUUGGUUGUCAGACAAUAAUUUGAGUAUACGUGUAUGUAUCGUUAUGGAAUGAUUACGGAAUAGUGGUGCAAAAAUUGGUGAAAAACAAUCUUGUUUCAGAACAAUGAUAAUAACUUGAGUAUAAUUGUAUGACUCUCUAUUAAAUUGCAUCACAAGGUUCAAUACCAAAAUAGUAAGGUUGUGAUUGGUCUCAAACCGUUUAGGAAAAAGUGCUGAUAAUGCUGUUGUAAUACUUUGUAUAAAUAGCUUAUUUUCUGAACAAUUUUAAUGGGGUUUAAUUAAAUUCUUUAUUUUUUGUUAUUCUUUAACAGGUCGAGAACUCUAGAUUUCUUUACGUCAGAAUAUAUUUGCAUAGUAAUUUCCCAAACACAAGGCCAAUACGGCCUUGAAAAACAGACCAAUCGACUCAAUGAGCUACAAUGCAUUGUGGGCUACUACGAUUUUACUACAACCGGAAUACACGUGGAAUUAGUGAAAGAACUGUCAACUAAUAUAGUGUCUGGGAUUCUCAAAAUGUAUGUUUUUGUUCUGCGAAUGUGAUUUUUGUAAAAUAUAUAACAUAAUCUUCAAUUUGCAUGCUCAGAUUAAAAAGGUAUUGUUUACGGGCUUCGCUAUUCGACUUUCUUUUUCGCCUUGUUAAAAGUUGUUGAACAGGUUUUUCUCCAUUGGUAUGCAUUGUACCUGUGCAAUUAUUUUACGACCUGAAACAGUGAAAUUUCAGAU
rnacentral:lncRNA from 1 species